UUGCAGCUCAACUUAAGCGUGGGGAGAAGAGGUCCACCUAGAAGGAACUUUGGUUUCAGAAGAUCAGUCCUUGCCCAUUUCUCUGCCAUGGCCCAAUCGUUUCUCUUCCUCCUCUUCCUGCUCACUUAUCUCACUGGUGCCUUGGCCCAGUUCACCAUGACUCAGCCACCUUCUCUGUCGGUAUCCCCUGGAGGAGCAGUCAGGAUCACCUGUACCAGGGCAGGCGGUAGCAUUUCUGGCUAUUAUGUGGGCUGGUAUCAGCAGAAAUCUGGCACUAAACCCUUAGCAGUGAUCUAUAAAUAUAGUGAGAGACCUUCUGGAAUCCCCGAACGAUUUUCUGGUUCUUAUGAUUCUUCCUCCAAUUCGGCCACCUUGUCCAUCUCCAACGUUCAAGCAGAAGAUGAGGCUGACUAUUACUGUUUGACGAGUGAUGAAAAUUCUCAGAGCACAGUGAUUGCAUUUCAUGGGGAACUGUGACAAAAACCAGAAGGUGGCUCAGCCUUCCUUGAACGCUUCGCUCAACAUGGUUUGACAAAAGAAUUGCACACAAGUAGGGAAUGUACUUUUGAUAGUUUCAGCAUCCUUUUUUCCCCCCAUGUGAUCACUUUCUAUGAUCUUCCCAUCUAGCAUUCAAUGAACAGAGCGUUUUAAUGGCCGGAUGCCUUUCCCGUCACCAAUGCAGAGUUCAGCAGUGUCAGGGCGUUGAUUAAUCCCAUUCUGCCUCUGGGAAAUUGCACCCUGAUUAAGAGGAGCGAAUCGUGGCCUUUCCUUGCGAGCAUACUUUAAGAAAACAAACCCGAAGAAAUAUCUU